rnacentral:lncRNA from 1 species
AGAUCCAACCAGUCCCUCCUAAAGGAAAUCAGUCCUGAACAUUCACUGGAGGGACUGAUGCUAAAGCUGAAGCUCUAACACUUUGCCCACCUGAUGCGAAGAACUGACUCAUUGGAAAAGACCCUGAUGCUGGGAAAGAUUGAAGGCGGGAGGAGAAAGGGACGACAGAGGAUGAGAUUGGCUGGAUGGCAUCACCGACUCAAUGGACAUGGGUUUGAGUAAACUCCAGGAGUUGGUGAAGGACAGGGAGGCCUGGCAUGCUGCGGUUCAUGGGGUCACAAAGAGUCGGACACGACUGAGCGACUGAACUGAACUGAACUGAACUGAACAGCAGUCCUAGGUGCUCAGAAAAGCCGUCAGGCCCCAACUGUGGGUGCCGCUGGCUGGAGACCAGGGAGACUGCCCCGGACACAGCUGCAGACAGCCAGAGGCAGGGCCAGCCCCUGGCUGCCAAGAAGGGUGCCUCAGGGACAAGCCUCUCUCUGGGGAGCGGGGUUUCCUUAAGGGGGGAAGCUCGGAGCAGGGCUCAGCUUCCCUGUGCCUCCCCCUCCGAGGAACAAAUCGUCACAAACCCAGGGAACCAAAGCAGCAAUGUUUGCGGGCCAGAAGCCGAAGACUCUGGGCGGCAGGCUGGGCUUCCUGCCCCAGCACCCCCUCCACACGUCCACCUGCUAAACCCCAGGCCCAGCUCCCGCCAGCCCCGCAGGAAGUACAGCCUCAGAGGUCAGGCUGCCGUCUCCCCAGCCAGAGAAGGAUACCUCGGGGAAGGGGCACCUUGAAUAGCCACCCCCUCUUCUACCCAGGAAGCUCCCGUGGGUGCUCCAUAUGCUUUGUUGCAGAAGCAACAUGGCUCAGGGAACAUCAGUGCGAGACCGCCAGCCGGCCACCCUUCCCAAGAUGCUGGAGGAUGGUCGGGACACGUGGCUGCUGCACAAAGCUCUGGACUCUAGCCCUGCUGCAGGGGGGAGGCCCCGACUUCAGACCUGGGCGUUGAGGGAGGCCCAGGGCCGCCCACCCACCUGCAGGGACCAGACAGCCCACAGAUAGCCCCACCUGAGCCCCAGGCAACGUCUCUAUGGGCGUGCAUUCAGGAGAUGAUGCUGGCUCCUGGCCUCCACCAGUGUCCUUGUGAGAAGGCUCAACGCCCAGAGGGGAGGGCGGAGGAAGGACAGAGCAGAGCCGGAGGGGUGGGGGAGGUCUCCAGAGGGCCCUCCUGCUGCCCAAGGCCCUGGUUUGGGGUCCCAGGUCAGGGCAGGCCCAGGAGGCUCCCACACCACUGUCUGCGCCAGCUCCCCUGCAGUGGGUGGCCUUGGGGGAAGGCUGUGGAAAACAGGGUCCACAGACAGGGCGGGGGGGG